UACAGAGGGGGCAAGCGUUGUUCGGAAUUACUGGGCGUAAAGGGCGCGUAGGCGGCCUGCUAAGUCGAACGUGAAAUCCCCGAGCUCAACUCGGGAACUGCGUCCGAUACUGGCAGGCUUGAAUCCGGGAGAGGGAUGCGGAAUUCCAGGUGUAGCGGUGAAAUGCGUAGAUAUCUGGAGGAACACCGGUGGCGAAGGCGGCAUCCUGGACCAAUUCUGACGCUGAGGAGCGAAAGCCAGGGGAGCAAACGGG
rnacentral:rRNA from 1 species